rnacentral:lncRNA from 1 species
UUCCGGGAUUCAGCACAGUGAUUGCUGGCUGGUUUUUUCCUUGCUUGAUACCCAUCCUGAGCUGUUUAUGUCCUUGUGCCUCUCUUCACAAACCUGCUGUUCAAGGAAAAGUUAGUGGAAGCCGUUAUCCAUGUCAACAUUGAACCAGAAGCCUGAAGUUUGCCUCUAUCAGUUAAUACUAUGCUUUGACAAAUUCCAUGAAGAGCAUGAUUUGCAAGAGGAACUGCUACACAUUUUACACUUAUUUACUCCAACCUUUCCUGCUAAUUCCAGGUUUAUUGAACACGAUAACACAUGUAGAGCAGAGCACUGUGCACCAGUUACUAAUGCCAGAAGAGGACUCUCACUAUAUGGAGGGUAAUGAAGAUCAUCACAAUACCAGCCACCAGGAAUAGAAGUCCAGAUACUUCUGCCCACUGUCUGUUAGUAUUGGAGUCACCAAAAAAUCACAAGUCAAGUACUUGGUGGAAAAUUACUUUACUCACAAAAAGAUACAGAGCAAGAUCAGUUUCGGUAGUGGACAUCUGUCACCAUGGUCCCUCCUAAAAGACAAUGCAGGGCAACUGGCCUAUGAGCACCCAACUAGUGCUACACUAGAAGGACUCUGACACCUCCUCCAUGAAGUAUGAAAUAUCAAAAACUAGGGGCAUGCCUGAGCGCCAUUGAAACACAGUGCUUAAGCAGAACAAAGACGUAAAGACGUACUCAUUGAGUCUGAAACAGAGAAAGAUACUUUCUCACUAAAUCUAAACCUGGGAUAGGUACUGCCUUUCCCAAUACAACAGAUUUUAGUAAAUCCUCCAAAUUUGUUUGACUUUGUUCCAUUUGUUUUGGUAAUUAUCUAUGCUGUCCCUUUCUAUAUACAAUUAGCAUAAGCUAGUCAAUACAACAAAAAUAUAUACAGCAAAUUAGAUUGGGUUUGCAUCAUUCUAUAGAUUAGGAGAAUAUUGAACAUUAUAAAAAUAGUGAAUAUUCCAAUUCAUGAACUCAAUAUAUUUAUUCAUUUACUAAGACAUUCUUGAUUUCUUAUUCAGCAUUCGUAGGUAACAUGCAAAUCCUGUAUCUAUUUUUGUUAACUUUGUACCUACAUAUUUUGUUUUUCCUGAUGCUAUUGUAACUAUUACUUUAAAAUUUAAUUUCCAUGUGCCUAUAGUCCCAACUUCUUGGGAGACUGAGGCAAAAGACUCAGUUGGGCCCAGGAGGGAGUUUGAGUCUAGUCUGGGCAACACAGAACCCCACCUCUAAAAAUUAAAUUAAGUUAAAAUUAAAAAAAAAAAUUUCCAUUUGUUCAUGCCCAUUAUGCAAAUAUGUAAUUGACCUAGUACCCUGGAACAUUCCAAAAUUAUUUUACUAAAUCUGGAGAUUUUGUUAUAGAUCUA